rnacentral:tRNA from 1 species
GGCAACGUGCCAGAGUGGUUAAUGGGUUAGCCUCGAAAGCUAAUGGCUUCGGCCAGGUUCGAAUCCUGUCGUUGUCG